rnacentral:lncRNA from 1 species
AGGCUGUUUUCCAGAGUCUGCGCUUUGUUUGGCUCCACACAACUUGUGGAAACUACUGGAGGCGGGGUUGGCAGAGUGGCCGCCAGGGUCUCUAAGGUCACCCUCACGCGGGGGCUCGCUGUGCCUUCGGGACCCGCGCACGGGCCGCGCCAGCGUGUGAACACGGGGGAGAGACUCCCAGCACCGCUGCAGGCCCAACUGUGAAGCGCCGCCAAGCAACGUAAAGAGGGUGAGACACGCACAGAACAGGACGACUUGACCAAAGACCCCGGGCAGUGCGUGCCCACCGGGUCAGAAACACAGGGCGGCGGCGUCUUCUACUUGCCACCCCCCCACCCAUCCGUCUUCACUGGUGUCAUUUCAAUCAAAGCCCAAAGGGAAUCUCUUUGGCACAUAAAUUGAAGAUACUGAACGGCCCGAAAAUAUUGGCAGGAUGCACGGUGGGCGAAAGUUCCCUGGGCUGCCUGCCCCGCUCCUGGGCUUGUGCACGUGUCCUCGUCACUGGCUCGGCUCCUGGGAGAAUUGCGUCACUCCCAGGGCCGCGAUGGGGACGAGAGGUGACAGCGUGCGGAGCGCUCCGUGCCUGCGGGGUGUCGCGUACAGGUGAGCACCCCUCCCACAGUGGCUGCUGCUGCGGUCGUCUGGCCGGCCGUGCCCCCGCCACCCUCGGCCCCCUCUCCGUGCCACAGCGGGGUGCUCCCACGACUCCACUACCUGGCCUCCCCUUUCACCCCUGAGCUUCUCCUUUCAGGGUUCAGUAGCUUCGUGUUCUUUUCAAACCUUCCCCGUCUCCCUUAGCACCGGCUGGCACUUCUUUCUGAAUCCCAGUGCCAUCUGUCCCCUGGGCCAAACCAUGGAGUUCAUAAUGGUGAAGUGUCUUGGUUUUUAUUUUUAUCUAUUUUUAAAUUUUUUUAAUGUCCAAUAAUUUUAUAUUAUGCAUAUAUAUCCCACAUUUAGGAUAUAUAUUACAUUAUUACAACAUCCAAUAAAUUUAUUAUUAUUUCACUUAGGGAUUUUUCUCUUUAAGGAAGUCUAAUAAUUUUGCUAGGAUAUGUCUUGGAGUUGAUUGUUGAAGUUCAAUUUUCCCAAGUACUUGAUGGACUUGUAAAAUAUGAAGAAUCAGAUCCUUUUUUAUUUCUGGAAACUUUUCUUUUCUUGUGUGUGUGUGUUUUAUUCUUUUUUUAAUUUUUUUAAAGAUCUUAUUUAUUUAUUCAUGACAGAGAGAGAGAGAGAGGCAGAGACACAGGCAGAGGGAGAAGCAGGCUCCAUGCAGGGAGCCCGACGUGGGACUCGAUCCUGGGACUCCAGGAUCACAUCCUGGGCCAAAGGCAGGCGCUAAACCACUGAGCCACCCGGGCUGCCCCUGUGUAUGUUUUAAAAUCAAGAUUUUUAAGUACCAUAUACAUUUAAAUACAGGUUGUGUUUCUUUCUCUUUUUUUUUUUUUGUAUUUUUUUAUUGGAGUUCAAUUUGCCAACAUAUAGCAUAUCACCCAGUGUUCAUCCCGUCAAGUGCCCCCCUCAGUGCCUGUCACCAGUCACCUCCACCCCCCGCCCUCCUCCCCUUCCCCCACCCCUUGUUCGUUUCCCAGAGUCAGGAGUCUCUCAUGUUCUGUCUCCCUUUCUGAUAUUUCUCACUCAUUUUCCCUCCUUUCCCCUAUGAUCCCUUUCACUAUUUUUAUAUUCCCCGAAUGAAUGAGACCAUAUAAUAUUUAUCCUUCUCCAAUUGACUUACUUCACUCAGCAUAAUACCCUCCAGUUCCAUCCUCAUUGAAGCAAAUGGUGGGUCUUCAUCAUUUCUGAUGGCUGAGGAAUAUUCCACAGUAUACAGAGACCACAGCUUCUUUAUCCAUUCAUCUGUCGAUGGGCACCGAGGCUCCUUCCACAGUUUGGCUAUUGUGGACAUUGCUGCUAGAAACAUCGGGGUGCAGGUGUCCCGGUUUUUAAAUUCAUUUCAUGCAUAUAAAUCUGGUCUCUCCAAACGGCAGCACAAGCCAAGUCAAGAUAAAUAACUAUUUUUUUUAAAGAUUUUAUUUAUUUAUUUAUUCAUGAGAGACAGAGAGAGAGAGAGAGAGAGAGAGAGAGAGAGGCAGGGACACAGGCAGAGGGAGAAGCAGGCUCCAUGCAGGGAGUCCGAUGAGGGACUCGAUCCUGGGUCUCCAGGAUCACACCCUGGGCUGAAGGCGGCGCUAAACCGCUGAGCCACCCAAGGUAAAUAACUAUUUCAUGGACUCCAGGCCACGUUCAUUGACUCCAGGCCUCCGAAAAGGGAGAUGUCUCUCAGGUGAUGACAUAGCACAGUUUGUCUAGCUGGAAGCUGUUCUAUUUUGCUGAGAGGUACGUAAAAUCAUGAGGCAUCUUUACGAUUGGAUGAGAUCUGAGUCUUUUUUUUUUUUUAAAGAUUUUAUUUAUUUAUUCCUGAGAGAUGCAGAGAGAGAGAGAGAGAGAGAGAGAGAGGCAGAGUGACAGAGGAGAAGCAGGCUCCCUGCAGGGAGCCUGACAUGGGACUCGAUCCCAGGACCCCGGGGUCACACCCUGAGCUGAAGUCAGACGCUCAACCGCUGAGCCACCCGGGUGCCCCAAGAUCUGAGUCUCGAUAAAAUGUGGAUGUAGGAUGUGUGUAUCCUCGGUACUCUGCGGCAGAGUCUCCUCCAUGUACCCCCUGCCCCGGCAAGACUGUGCCAGCAACAGUCGAGGCACAGGAGUAAUAGAAGUAAGAAGCACUGAUGCUAAGUAGGAGGGGCAGGUGAGAGGGCCUCCCAGAGCGGGCAGCCAGCACACGUGUCUUACAGCAGUGACCGGGCUUAGUGUCCCUAGGCGGCCCUCUGGGGAGCCCAGAGCAGCUCUUCCUGCGGGAGGCAGAGGGACACCUCACCCUGUGACCUGUGUCCUGUGUCCUUUGUCCUGCUGCUCCAUCAGUUCACGGAAUGCAGCCGGAUGGGUCUGGCCUGAGAUGGAGUGUUUGCAGAGCGAGGGCCGUGGGGACAGAAACACUCUGUGGUUUCUCAGCAGGCUCACCCAGCAAGUGGGGGUCAAGGGCCUUGCGUGGCUGCCCUCGGGAGCCCCCAGCCACCCCAUCUCGGGCGGGCAUCCUUUCCCGUACACAUGCCGGCACCUGCACUGAUCCAGCAGACGUGAGAGCAACAUUAAGUCACCUGGAAUGUAAA